GUGAUCAUCGUCAGGUGGAUCAAGCGGUGGCGACGGCAUUCGGACACCGUAGAGCAAGCAAUUACCUGCGCAUACAGGACACCGCAUUCAUGUCGGGAAAUUGCACGCCAAAGACGACGAGCUCGAAGAGCUCGGUGGAGGCAGCAGAACGCGUUCUGUCACAGCGACACGUGGAGUCACUGCUCUUCAGAGGGCGAGGAAAGAUCUCAGAGCGGACCAACGGCGACGAGCUCGACCGGUUCUCGAAGGAGCUCGUAAAGGAGGAGGAGUGGAGGAAGAAGGGCCCGAUCUCGACGGUGGUGCUAAAGCAAGUGAUGACGCCGCGAACGUCGUCGGCGACGACCGCGACCACGGUCACCGUUACCACGACUAUUUCUACGAGCACGACAUCGACAUGAUGGAGACGGUGGAGUCGAGAUAGCUGCUUGUGCAUAUACUGUUGUGGGUUCUAAAAUGUAUGUUUUCCUUAGUGGAGGGUAUGACAUGGAAAUCAAUUCAAGCUUGGAAAUUGUUCGCUAAAUUAGUAACGCGGUAGAAAUGUGAACCUUAUGGGUGCACUUCCUUUAUUAGUUGAUUCAUUCAGGGUUUUUGGUUUGACUAUUUCGUUUGCACUUCCUUUAUUAGUUUUGAUCAUCACCUAGGUAACCAAUAACGAAAUGGAUGCACGGAUAAGGUUCUGUUAUGUAACUCUUUGGUGAUGGGCUUGAUCUGUUUUGCUUAGCCGAGAUUGACAAGUUGUUGGUUUGAUUCUCUUUUUUGGUUUAGAAAAUGGUUCAACUGAACCAAACUGCACAAAUAACAUUGAAUAAAAUAGGUAAAAGUGGUAUAUUCCAAUUUCAUAAAUGUAAUAGGUAUAUUGUGUGAUGUACUGAAUAUAUAUUCUAUAAUAAUGAGUGCAACAUAAUUCAUUUCUAUCUUGGUUUUAUAUAGCAUAUUAUCUAAAAGAUAUAAGGUACAUUGUAGACUGACUAAAAUAAACCCAACUAAACUGAACAACCUUAUUUUGGCUUCAGUUUCUUUUAUAUGGUUUGUACAGUUCGGUUUUAAAUUAUAAUAAUUGAA